GACGAACGCUGGCGGCGUGCUUAACACAUGCAAGUCGAACGGAAAGGCCCUGCUUUUGUGGGGUGCUCGAGUGGCGAACGGGUGAGUAACACGUGAGUAACCUGCCCUUGACUUUGGGAUAACUUCAGGAAACUGGGGCUAAUACCGGAUAGGAGCUCCUGCUGCAUGGUGGGGGUUGGAAAGUUUCGGCGGUUGGGGAUGGACGCGCGGCUUAUCAGCUUGUUGGUGGGGUAGUGGCUUACCAAGGCUUUGACGGGUAGCCGGCCUGAGAGGGUGACCGGCCACAUUGGGACUGAGAGACGGCCCAGACUCCAACGGGAGGCAGCAGUGGGGAAUAUUGCACAAUGGGCGGAAGCCUGAUGCAGCAACGCCGCGUGCGGGAUGACGGCCUUCGGGUUGUAAACCGCUUUCGCCUGUGACGAAGCGUGAGUGACGGUAAUGGGUAAAGAAGCACCGGCUAACUACGUG
rnacentral:rRNA from 1 species